rnacentral:rRNA from 1 species
UACGUAGGGGGCAAGCGUUGUUCGGAAUUACUGGGCGUAAAGCGCGCGUAGGCGGUUUGGAAAGUCAGACGUGAAAGCCCCGGGCUCAACUUGGGAACUGCAUUUGAUACUGCCAGACUAGAGUACAGAAGAGGUGACUGGAAUUCCCAGUGUAGCGGUGAAAUGCGUAGAUAUUGGGAGGAACACCAGAUGCGAAGGCGGGUCACUGGGCUGAUACUGACGCUGAUGCGCGAAAGCGUGGGGAGCAAACAGG